UUAUCGGAGAGUUUGAUCCUGGCUCAGGACGAACGCUGGCGGCGUGCCUAAUACAUGCAAGUCGAGCGGACAGAUGGGAGCUUGCUCCCUGAUGUUAGCGGCGGACGGGUGAGUAACACGUGGGUAACCUGCCUGUAAGACUGGGAUAACUCCGGGAAACCGGGGCUAAUACCGGAUGCUUGUUUGAACCGCAUGGUUCAGACAUAAAAGGUGGCUUCGGCUACCACUUACAGAUGGACCCGCGGCGCAUUAGCUAGUUGGUGAGGUAACGGCUCACCAAGGCGACGAUGCGUAGCCGACCUGAGAGGGUGAUCGGCCACACUGGGACUGAGACACGGCCACGCACAGACACUUCGACACCCAUCAACCAUC
rnacentral:rRNA from 1 species